AUGGGGAUACACUGUAAUUCUAGGGGCAGAAAUCAGGCUAGAUCAUCUGCAACUACAUCUAAUGACAAAGGAACAGACACCCAGGCCGGCAGAAAUAAAAUUGAUAGGGCUAACCACCGCUGCAACUAUAACUUCCCCUACCUCUAUAUCUACAUCAGAAUAAACAACCUACGCCUACCUCCACAUCUACAAGCAUGGGAGAAUAUGACCACAACAAGCAGAUGGAUUAGAACCCCCACAUACAACAAGCUCCUAGAUAACUCAGGCGAGCAGAAGGAUGGGAAAUGGAGCGCUAGGCAUGGCGGACUAGAAACAAACACGGCAGCAACAUGCACCUACCACGGAUCCACGGACAACAUCAAGAACAGAUGA
rnacentral:rRNA from 1 species